CACGUAGGGUGCGAGCGUUGUCCGGAAUUAUUGGGCGUAAAGAGCUCGUAGGCGGUGUGUCGCGUCGGCCGUGAAAACCUGCAGCUUAACUGUGGGCUUGCGGUCGAUACGGGCAUCACUGGAGUUCGGCAGGGGAGACUGGAAUUCCUGGUGUAGCGGUGAAGUGCGCAGAUAUCAGGAGGAACACCGGUGGCGAAGGCGGGUCUCUGGGCCGAUACUGACGCUGAGGAGCGAAAGCGUGGGGAGCGAACAGG
rnacentral:rRNA from 1 species